rnacentral:rRNA from 2 species
UACAGAGGGGGCAAGCGUUAUUCGGAAUUAUUGGGCGUAAAGGGCGCGUAGGCGGCUUUGCAAGUGACGGGUGAAAUCCCUCGGCUUAACCGAGGAACUGCCUGUCAGACUGCAUGGCUCGAGACCAGGAGAGGUGAGUGGAAUUCCCAGUGUAGCGGUGAAAUGCGUAGAUAUUGGGAGGAACACCAGUGGCGAAGGCGGCUCACUGGACUGGUACUGACGCUGAUGCGCGAAAGCGUGGGGAGCAAACAGG